CCUACGGGUGGCAGCAGUGGGGAAUAUUGCACAAUGGGGGAAACCCUGAUGCAGCGACGCCGCGUGAGUGAAGAAGUAUUUCGGUAUGUAAAGCUCUAUCAGCAGGGAAGAUAAUGACGGUACCUGACCAAGAAGCCCCGGCUAACUACGUGCCAGCAGCCGCGGUAAUACGUAGGGGGCAAGCGUUAUCCGGAUUUACUGGGUGUAAAGGGUGCGUAGGUGGCAGGGCAAGUCAGAUGUGAAAGCCCGGGGCUCAAACCCGGUACUGCAUUUGAAACCGUCCAGCUAGAGUGCAGGAGAGGUAAGCGGAAUUCGUGGUGUAGCGGUGAAAUGCGUAGAUAUUGGGAAGAACACCGAUGGCGAAGGCAGCAUGCUGGACUGAAACUGACGCUGAGGCACGAAAGCGUGGGGAGCGAACAGGAUUAGAUACCCUUGUAGUC
rnacentral:rRNA from 1 species